GGACAGCAGGCACCUCUAGUAAUGCUGUUUUGGAUGAUUCAUGCUGUUCUUCGGGCAAAUCUGCAGAUCAAGUGUGGUGUGACACAUCCUUCGGUAAUCAUGACAAUGAAGAACACUUUCAAGAUGCUGAUAUAUAACAUAGCCGGAAGAAUAUCUUUCUGAAUUAAGAAACAGCUGCUUCUGUGGUUUUACAGGGUGAAACACUGCCCGAGUGUAGCUCGAGCACUCGGCUGUGCGGGAGGCAGGAGGUUUGUGGCUCAGCACGGCCUCUCGAGCAGCCGGGCUGCUCUGCAGGAGGUUUUUGUCUGUCUCGCGGUGUACAUCUCACCUGACGCCGCUCCGAGUCUGGCUACAGGUAAAGCARCCUGCACCGAGAACUCAUUCCUUCCCUUUCACCUACUAAAUCCGUUUCUUUAUUAUUUUUUUAUUUGGUUGYCUUUCCCUGUAGAAAGUGGG
rnacentral:lncRNA from 1 species